UACGGAGGGUGCAAGCGUUGUCCGGAUUCAUUGGGUUUAAAGGGUGCGCAGGCGGGACAUUAAGUCAGGGGUGAAAGACGGUUGCUCAACAAUCGCAGUGCCUUUGAUACUGGCGUUCUUGGGUAACCUUGAGGUAGGCGGAAUGGGUGGUGUAGCGGUGAAAUGCAUAGAUACCACCCAGAACUCCGAUUGCGAAGGCAGCCUACUGGAGGUCAACCGACGCUCAGGCACGAAAGCGUGGGGAUCAAACAGG
rnacentral:rRNA from 1 species